rnacentral:rRNA from 1 species
CCUACGGGAGGCAGCAGUGGGGAAUAUUGCACAAUGGGGGAAACCCUGAUGCAGCGACGCCGCGUGAGUGAAGAAGUAAUUCGUUAUGUAAAGCUCUAUCAGCAGGGAAGAAAAUGACGGUACCUGAGUAAGAAGCCCCGGCUAACUACGUGCCAGCAGCCGCGGUACUACGUAGGGGGCAAGCGUUAUCCGGAUUUACUGUGUGUAAAGGGAGCGUAGACGGCAGUGCAAGUCUGGAGUGAAAGGCGGGGGCUCAACCCCCGGACUGCUCUGGAAACUGUACGGCUGGAGUGCAGGAGAGGUAAGUGGAAUUCCUAGUGUAGCGGUGAAAUGCGUAGAUAUUAGGAGGAACACCAGUGGCGAAGGCGGCUUACUGGACUGUAACUGACGUUGAGGCUCGAAAGCGUGGGGAGCAAACAGGAUUAGAUACCCUUGUAGUC